rnacentral:misc_RNA from 1 species
AAGUCGUAACAAGGUAACCGUAGGUGAACCUGCGGUUGGAUCAUUAUUGAAUACUUUUAUUUAAUUGGGGGAAUGGUUUCCAUGAAACCAUUCCUCAAUUAAACACACACCUUGUGCACUGUACGAGACUAAUUACAAGUCUAUUUGGUGGGCUGGCCCCGCUCCCUUCUUAAUUGAAGGGAGUGUGAGUGGGUCCUUGUCGCCUUGCGCGGACCACCAAUGGGCAACUUGUAAUUUACAAAACUACAUACAAACACACACUCAACUCCCAUCUUAAUUAAUCAAGUGUCAUUGUGACACUGAACAAAUUGAAAACACAACUUUUGACAACGGAUCUCUUGGCUCUC